GUGAGAUUGUUGACAGAAGAUAGAGAGCACAGAUGAUGAUCAUGCUGCUAAAUCUGGGAUUGGAGAGGGCACUGAAUCAAUUAAACUGCAAAAAAAAAAAGCAUCUCAAUUCAUUUGUGCUCUCUAUGCUUCCGUCAUCACCUUCACCG
rnacentral:pre_miRNA from 1 species